rfam:Flavobacterium branchiophilum FL-15, complete genome.
UUGUAGCCUCGAUUGAAGUGAAAAUCCUUUAAUAGCGGGGUUCGCUAUUAAAGAUUGUAACGAAAAGAGAGUUGUAUA